rnacentral:lncRNA from 1 species
GCUGAUGAUUUUCGUAUGUGCCUGUUAAAUUAUAUACAUGGUAAUGUCAAAACAAAACUGAAAUCCAUAUAUAUGUAGCAAAUUCUGGUAACCUAGCAACCAAUCUACAACCAUAAAUAUACAAUUUACACUUCUUUAUGAAUCACAACUGAAAAAUCAAAUAUAUACAGAAACCGUACAAAUAAAGGUACCCACUGGCAAGUUGAAACCAUGCAAAUAAAGAUCCCCACUGGUCAGAUGCAACCAUACAAAUUAAGAUACCCCAUGUUCAGUAAGAACCAUGCAAAUAUAGAUACCCACUGGUCAGUUGCAACCAUACUAAUUAAGAUACCCACUGGCAAGUUGAAACCAUACAAAUAAAAAUACCCACUGGUCAGUGGAAACCAUACAAAUAAAGAUACCCAUUGGUUAUUUACACAUAAACCAUAAAAAUAAAGACACUCACUGGUCA